CCCGUCCGCGGCCGUGCAGCCGAGCCCCGCCGAGCAACCGAACCGAGCCGCUCAGCCGAGCCCAGACGAGCAGCCGAGCAGCUUCGAGUGCCGCCGAGCCCGAGCCGAGCCCGAGCGAGCGCCACCGGCCGCAGCUACCGUGACAAGUGGUGCUUGUAGCUGUCAAUCAGAGGCAUGGCCCAAUCAGCGCCGCCCGCCUGGACCGCCCCGCCAUUCUCCAAGAGCGCACUGGGCCGCUGGGCCGGGAAAGGCGAGAUUGGGGUGUUGGUGGGGUGGGGGUGAAGUGGAGGCCACGCCGGGGCUUGGAGCCUCCGGACCGUGUUCUAUCUGCUGGGGGUCUUGUCAUUAAAAGGAAUGCCGGGGUUGGUGCAGGCAGCAGGCCUCUGGGAGAAGUCCAUGUGGCCGCCUUGGUCUAGGGGUUUCUUCCUGCACCCCUGGGUUUUGGGAGGAGUUUUCCGCCCCUCGCGAGAGUUUUGUAUAUAAAACUGGGCCGUUGUACCAUGGAAGGGUGCUGCAGGCGGGUUUGGAGUGCUCGUUACCAGGCACAGGUGUUCCCUGCAGGGUGGGGAUGUUAAGUGCUGGCGAGGAUACUGCAUGCGAGCCGGGUUCUGCAGACGGGGUGGAGAUGCUGCUUUUAGGUUGGGGUUCUGCAUACAGCGUGGGUGCUAUGUGUAGGCUAGAGCUCUGAACGCAGGUAGUGUUCUGCAUAUGAGGCGUAAUGCUUCAUGCGGAGCGAGAGAGAUGUGCACUGCAGUACCCAGAGUGCCCUGGAUGUCUCUCUCCACCGGCUGUUUCUGUUCCCGUGAGAAAGGGACAGCAUUUUCGCGGUAUGCCAGUAGACACCAGUAUACUAGGAUCCAUGAAUUCUAGCAGAGGCAUUCUGCAGCAGGGCCCUCUGGUGCCUCCGAGACCUCAGCUGCAGACCUUUCUAUAUUUAAGAUAAGCCGUGAGUCAAGGGGUUUCAUGGUUUCCUGAGAAGCCUCUGAAAGUGUAUGGCCUUAAGGCCAGCAGUGGAGGCAAUCAGACCUACAGGGACCCUCCUUUUCUUGCGUGAAACCCUUGUAUUUCCUUAAGAUAUGCUGUGGGAGGUGGUGGAAAAGGAGAGAUGAGGACCAGGCUCAGAACUUUACAGAUGUGGGCUGUACUUCCUGUGUACCUCAAUGGAAGGAAGCUGCAUUAGCCAACAAUGUUCCAGGUCAACAUGGUAUGGAAUGUCACCUUCUCCUUCAGCCACCUGCUUGCUCUUGCCCACCCUAAGUGUCACAGUGUGAACUUACAAAGGGGCCCACUUUUUCCAGCACUACCCAGGAAGACCAAUGGAGAGUGAGGACAUUGUGAUCUGUUCAUGUUUCCAAUGUAAGAAAGAACCAACCCUCAGAACAGCUUUCUCUUCAAAGAGCUGGCCUGAUCUUUGGAAGUGGUAGAUUUAGGGCCACUGGGUACUAAGAGUUGUUCUGGAAUGAGCAGCACUGGCCUGCUAAUGGGGACACACAGGCAACCACAGAGGGUGAGCCUCAGGCUGAUGCUGGCACCACUCGGGGCAGUGGUGAUUUUUCAGCAACACCUGAGAGUAUUUGGGACCUUGGAGUAGAGUAUUCAACCGGAUUUGGCCAGAGGUGAGCAGAAGUAGAACAUGGGCAGGUGAGUAGGAGGGCCAAUGAUCCACAUAAGAAAGGAAAGACGAUGCCAGGUCCCUGUCUACUGGGGUCCCUCUGGUCACCUGGCCUCCCUGUCUACAUUCCCACCUUUCCCAUGGCCUUAGCAGCAUUUGGUCUGUAGCUAUCUUCAUCUGCUCCCCAAAACUUUUAUCUUCAAGACUGCUUUCUCCCUACCUGCAGUCUACCCUCUCUCUGCCUCUUGGUCUCUUCCCCUCUCUCUAGCUGCCCGUUUUUUGUGUGUGCAUCUAGCCAACACCAAUCAACAAGCUCUCCGGGGUCUGGAAGUGCCCUCCAGGAGCAGCUGUGUCCCUGCGGUACCUACAGCUUUGAAGCCCGAGCAAGCCACAAAGAAUUGAUGAAGAGCAAAACUGUGUCCAAGGCAAUUGAGCAAACUCUCUGUAUAGAGUCAUCCCAGCCCACUAGUAACAGCUGAAGGAAGACAGAACGGAACCUCCAAUACCGUGGUCCUCUCUCGGUCCUGACCUGACCAUUUUCCAAGUGAUGCAGGAGGCCACUCUUUGGAACCCCUCAGCCACCUGGCUUCUGUCUGCCACCACCAUCACUCCCACUGCCAGGAUGACUGCUGCCACCAUUUCAAAUGGCACUGCCAUUUUACCCUCGCGUUACUAGAAUAGCCAGCUCCACCAAUGCAACAGAACACAAAGUAGUACGGUGCCUGAUGUUGCAAACCCAGGAGGCAGCACUAAAGGAUGUCUCCUACCAGACUAGAGAAGCGAACCAAGCAUCUGGCUUCUGCAGAGACAGAAGGGAAUGUGGCAAGGAUCUUUGUGCCAAUCAUAGCACAAUCCUUCCUGCAAAUAAAGGAUUACAUUUGCAACAAUCACAGGCCUCCUUGCUGGGCUAUCAGGAGAAGUGCUCCUCCUCUGGCCUUGGUGAAGACGGAGCCUAGAGUUCACUGAGAUUUGUAAUGGGGAAAGUCUAAAAUAAGCAGGUCUUGCCCACGGCUGGGAUAGUGUCUUCUGGAGCCUGAGUGGGAGCCAUAGCAGCUAUGGUUGGUGUGUAGCUUCAUCAAGGCAGCUAUGGAAUUUCAAAGCAGCCAGGCUACCUUAAGAGCAGCCCAAUGAGCUACUUUGUUAAUAGUAGAGGAACUGCUUAGAGGAACCAGGACCCCCAGGAAGGGUCUAACAACUGGGAAGUCAACAUUAAAAAGAAUGCUUACCGUGAAGGUUUAUCAUCAGCAUCAACAGUGAUUUAACUGUACGUAACAAUUCACUCUUAACCAAAUACCGUAGGCACAAGUUGGAUCAUCUCAUCUGCCUCACACUGCCUCUAGUAGUUGUGGGGCUGUCAGUGGAUUUGUAAUUUUCUUACAUGCUGCUUAAAGGUCCACAAAGGCUCAAAGGCAGCAACCACCGCCUCCUGGUGAGCAGUUCAGAGGUCGGGAGAACACUGAAACUGAGAGUGGCAUCAUGGCCAUUCUUGGACUGUGCACCGUGCAGCACCAGCACCAGGCUCUUGUUGAAACACUCUUCCCCUUCUACAAGGGAUCCCUGUAUUCCACCCUGUAUAUACCCCUUUCCUUGUGCUGACCUCCCAGCCCUUGUAUUCUGAGGGCCUCCAGUUUCUUCCCGUCCUGAUGCCUUAAGGCCUAGGCAUAAAGCACACUGAGGAACCCUGUCCCAUCCACCCUGGAUCCACUACAUAUUUGACUGCCUUCCCACCCCAUUCUGAUUCUCACAUGUGCCUUCCUUCAGCCAAUCCCAGAAAGGGAGUCUUGGGCUGGGUCUGUACCCUGCCAUGAGCCUAAAGCUGCAGGCUCCCAGCAGGGGAUCAGGACCCUGCAGAAAAGUAGUUUCUCAGUGAACCCUGCCCAACUCUCCAGACCCCCCUCUGUACACUUUGUGGUUGCACCAUCUGUUAAAUUAAUUUGAGCAUGUCCCUUUGUCCCCUCUAUCUUCAUUGUGAAGCCUGGGACACCAAAGACCUAUCACUUUACUUUGCCAUUUGUGGGUCUUACUUCGAUGCUCUUGAACAGAACUCUGAAUUUCCUCAAACAGGUUGACUCGUAUUGCCUCACUCAAUAAAUAGCCCUGCAAGAUGUCCAUUGUUCCCAAGGACAGGUGAGAGAUGGGGCUAGGUAAUAUGUGUCUAGGACCAAGUCACUUACUGAGGAGAGAGACUGGGGAAGAGAGUGCUGACGUAAAGGGACCCAGGGACUUGCCUGAAAGCCAAAGGAAAGAUUGCUGGGGCAGGUGGCUAUGCAGUGACAUAGCCCUCCGCCCCACCUCUCAAGGCACUUUCUGAUGGGGUGGAGGAGGUUCCAAGAAGCUGGGUCAGGUGAACAAGCCCUUCUGAGCAAAGGAGAAAGGCUG